rnacentral:lncRNA from 1 species
GCUCUACAUUGGCUUACAAGACGGUUCCCGGCACAGGAGGCUCACCAGGUGGACACCCCGAGCUGACGCAAUCAGACUUCAGGCACGCACAGCUUGGAGAAUGAAACUUGAAGCUUAAAGGAAAUUGGACGAGAAAAGGAAACCUAAGCUCCAAGCAGUCAGCUUCAAACAAGUUUCCUUCUGCGGCUAGAACAGAACUCGCCUGGUAACUGCAAAACCAGCCCCACCCCUUCUGGGGAUGUAGCGGUUCAUUUGGACAGUUUGGUCAUCAGAAGUGGGACCCCGGGAUAUUCCCCUCUGGCCUCCGAGGUCCCUGCUGGGCGCAGGUGCUGGUGUCUGCCAACUCGGGGCCCUCUGUCUCCUCCAGCCUCUUUGAAGGCUGCAGGUAAGUCCUCUAGCAUCCGAGCUUGGCUUCCUUGCACUGCAGCUCUUUAAGUUU